rnacentral:rRNA from 1 species
AACGCUGGCGGCAGGCCUAACACAUGCAAGUCGAACGGUAGCACAGAGGAGCUUGCUCCUUGGGUGACGAGUGGCGGACGGGUGAGUAAUGUCUGGGAAACUGCCUGAUGGAGGGGGAUAACUACUGGAAACGGUAGCUAAUACCGCAUAACGUCGCAAGACCAAAGAGGGGGACCUUCGGGCCUCUUGCCAUCAGAUGUGCCCAGAUGGGAUUAGCUAGUAGGUGGGGUAAUGGCUCACCUAGGCGACGAUCCCUAGCUGGUCUGAGAGGAUGACCAGCCACACUGGAACUGAGACACGGUCCAGACUCCUACGGGAGGCAGCAGUGGGGAAUAUUGCACAAUGGGCGCAAGCCUGAUGCAGCCAUGCCGCGUGUAUGAAGAAGGCCUUCGGGUUGUAAAGUACUUUCAGCGGGGAGGAAGGCGAUACGGUUAAUAACCGUGUCGAUUGACGUUACCCGCAGAAGAAGCACCGGCUAACUCCGUGCCAGCAGCCGCGGUAAUACGGAGGGUGCAAGCGUUAAUCGGAAUUACUGGGCGUAAAGCGCACGCAGGCGGUCUGUCAAGUCGGAUGUGAAAUCCCCGGGCUCAACCUGGGAACUGCAUUCGAAACUGACAGGCUAGAGUCUUGUAGAGGGGGGUAGAAUUCCAGGUGUAGCGGUGAAAUGCGUAGAGAUCUGGAGGAAUACCGGUGG